AAGUCGUAACAAGGUUUCCGUAGGUGAACCUGCGGAAGGAUCAUUAUCACGUUAAUCCACGUAUCAACCAUCUGUGAACCGUACCUCAACCUCUGGUGUUUCCUUGUGCUCCUCUUUUUCCUUUCUCUCUCUUCCUCUCACAGGGAGGUUGCGGAAGAAGAAGAAGAGUGCAAGGGAGGAUCCGAGCGUAUUUUACCUUUUUUUUUCUUCAAAAAAAAAACCAUUAACCACUCUAACCAAAACCUUAUAACUUCAUGAACUAAUCUUUUUUUCAUACUCUUCGGAGAUGAAAUUCAUUACGAAACAAAGAACAACUCUUAGCAACGGAUAUCUUGGUUCUC
rnacentral:misc_RNA from 1 species